UCUUAUCAAGAGAGGCGGAGGGACUGGCCCGAUGAUGCCCGGCAACCAAUCACCCACAGUGGGGAGAUACGGUGCCAAUUCCUGCAGAGCGUAAAAAGCUCUGAGAGAUGAGA
rnacentral:ncRNA from 1 species